UACGAAGGGGGCUAGCGUUGUUCGGAAUCACUGGGCGUAAAGCGCACGUAGGCGGAUCUUUAAGUCAGGGGUGAAAUCCCGAGGCUCAACCUCGGAACUGCCUUUGAUACUGGGGAUCUCGAGUCCGGGAGAGGUGAGUGGAACUGCGAGUGUAGAGGUGAAAUUCGUAGAUAUUCGCAAGAACACCAGUGGCGAAGGCGGACUCACUGGCCCGGAACUGACGCUGAGACGCGAAAGCGUGGGGAGCAACAGGG
rnacentral:rRNA from 1 species